rnacentral:rRNA from 1 species
GAUGAACGCUAGCGGCAGGCCUAAUACAUGCAAGUCGAACGCUCAGUAGCAAUACUGGGAGUGGCGCACGGGUGCGUAACGCGUACACAAUCUACCUCUAAGCGGGGGACACCUCCUGGAAACGGGGAUUAAUACCGCAUAAUAUGCCGAAGUCGCAUGACUUUGGUAUUAAAGCAGCAAUGCACUUAGAGAUGAGUGUGCGUCCCAUUAGGUAGUUGGUGAGGUAACGGCUCACCAAGCCUAUGAUGGGUAGCCGGUCUGAGAGGAUGGUCGGCCACACGGGCACUGAGACACGGGCCCGACUCCUACGGGAGGCAGCAGUAAGGAAUAUUGGUCAAUGGUGGAAACACUGAACCAGCCAUGCCGCGUGGAGGAAUAAGGUCCUACGGAUUGUAAACUCCUUUUGACGAGGAAGAAAAUAGUUAGAUUUAUCUAAUUUUGUACGGUACUCGUAGAAUAAGCACCGGCUAACUCCGUGCCAGCAGCCGCGGUAAAGUGACG